CGGCCGCGGUGAUCGGUGUUGUAAUUUGAUUAAAUCAAUGUGAUUAAAACAGGCGUUUGCUUGAAUGCUUUAUCAUGGAAUAAUAGAAUAUGACUUCGGUCCCUUCUGUUGGUACUGGCAUUGAAAUAAUGAUUAAAAGGAACAACUCGGGGGCAUCCGUAUCGCUGCGUGAGAGGUGAAAUUCUUGGACCGCAGCGAGACGACCUAUUGCGAAAGCAUUUGCCAAGAAUGUUUUCAUUAAUCAAGAACGAAAGUCAGAGGAUCGAAGGCGAUUAGAUACCGCCCUAGUUCUGACCGUAAACUAUGCCAACUAGCGAUCGGGUGGAGGUAGUUUAGCCCUGCCUGGGAG
rnacentral:rRNA from 1 species